rnacentral:rRNA from 1 species
UACGAAGGGGCUAGCGUUGUUCGGAUUUACUGGGCGUAAAGCGCACUGUAGGCGGAUUGGUCAGUUAGGGGUGAAAUCCCGGAGCUCAACAUUCCGGGAACUGCCCUUUAAUACUGACCAGUCUCGAGUCCGGAAGAGGUAAGUGGAACUCCUAGUGUAGAGGUGGAAUUCGUAGAUAUUAGGAAGAACACCAGUGGCGAAGGCGGCUACUGGUCCGGCACUGACGCUGAGGUGCGAAAGCG